UACGUAGGUGGCAAGCGUUGUCCGGAUUUAUUGGGCGUAAAGCGAGCGCAGGCGGUUUCUUAAGUCUGAUGUGAAAGCCCCCGGCUCAACCGGGGAGGGUCAUUGGAAACUGGGAGACUUGAGUGCAGAAGAGGAGAGUGGAAUUCCAUGUGUAGCGGUGAAAUGCGUAGAUAUAUGGAGGAACACCAGUGGCGAAGGCGACUCUCUGGUCUGUAACUGACGCUCAGGCACGAAAGCGUGGGGAGCAAAAGGG
rnacentral:rRNA from 1 species